rnacentral:SRP_RNA from 1 species
GCCGGGCCCGGUGGCUCAAGCCUGUAAUCCCAGCACUUUGGGAGGCCGAGACGGUCGGAUCACGAGGUCAGGAGAUAGAGACCAUCCUGGCUAACACGGUGAAACCCCGUCUCUAACUAAAAAAUACAANNNNNNNNNNGAGUAGCUGGGACUACAGGCGCCCACCACCUCGCCCGGCUAGUUUUUUGUAUUUUUUAGUUAGAGACGGGGUUUCACCGUGUUAGCCAGGAUGGUCUCUAUCUCCUGAUCUCGUGAUCCGCCCGUCUCAG